rnacentral:miRNA from 1 species
GAGCGCUCAUCGGAGGCAUGG